rnacentral:rRNA from 1 species
UACGUAGGGCGCAAGCGUUGUCCGGAAUUAUUGGGCGUAAAGAGCUUGUAGGCGGUUUGUCGCGUCUGCUGUGAAAAUCCGGGGCUCAACCCCGGACUUGCAGUGGGUACGGGCAGACUAGAGUGUGGUAGGGGAGACUGGAAUUCCUGGUGUAGCGGUGAAAUGCGCAGAUAUCAGGAGGAACACCGGUGGCGAAGGCGGGUCUCUGGGCCGUAACUGACGCUGAGGAGCGAAAGCGUGGGGAGCGAACAGG